CCUACGGGUGGCAGCAGUGAGGAAUAUUGGUCAAUGGGCGCAAGCCUGACCCAGCCAAGUAGCGUGAAGGAUGACUGCCCUACGGGUUGUAACCUUCUUUUAUAAAGGAGUAAAGUGAGACACGUGUGCCUUUUUGUAUGUACUUUAUGAAUAAUGAUCGGCUAACUCCGUGCCAGCAGCCGCGGUAAUACGGAGGAUGCGAGCGUUAUCCGGAUUUAUUGGGUUUAAAGGGAGCGUAGAUGGGUUGUUAAGUCAGUUGUGAAAGUUUGCGGCUCAACCGCAAAAUUGCAAUUGAUACUGUCAGUCUUGAGUACAGUUGAGGUAGGCGGAAGUCGUGGUGUAGCGGUGAAAUGCAUAGAUAUCACACAGAACACCGAUUGCGAAGGCAUCUCACGAAUCCGCGAUUGACGCUGAGGCACGAAAGCGUGGGUAGCAAACAGGAUUAGAUACCCGAGUAGUC
rnacentral:rRNA from 1 species